AAAGAUUAAGCCAUGCAUGUCUAAGUAUAAACAAUUUUGUACUGUGAAACUGCGAAUGGCUCAUUAUAUCAGUUAUAGUCUACUCGAUAGUACCUUACUACUUGGAUAACCGUAGUAAUUCUAGAGCUAAUACAUGCAUAAAUACCCAACUGCUUGUCGGGCGGGUAGCAUUUAUUAGAUUGAAACCAAUGCAGUCUUCGGGCUGGUAUUGUGUUGAGUCAUAAUAACCGUGCGGAUCGCACUUUGUGCGAUAAAUCGAUUGAGUUUCUGCCCUAUCAGCUUUGGAUGGUAGGAUAAGGGCCUACCAUGGUUU
rnacentral:rRNA from 1 species